GAAGGGCCUUGCUGAGGUCAUUUGCAUUUGCUAUGGCCUCCACUCUUGCUCCUCCGGAUGACCUCCACAUUGCUGGCUUCUUGUUGGAUAUAAAGAAGAUGACAAUUAGCGUGUGGGGAGUCCCCAAGACAUUUUGAUGUUAAACGUGGGUCCUUCUUCUUGACAAGGGAUACACACCUACCUACCGAGAGACCUCCAAACAGAGACAUCAACACAGAAACCUCCGCAGAGAUAACCAGAUCUCCAUAUGCAAACCCAUGUAAAAAGAAACCUAGAGAAACAGAUGCCCAGAUGAAGAGGGGUUUCCAGACAGAUUCUUGGCUGACGUUUCUGUCAGUGGUGUGAAAGGACAUUUACCCAGAUUCUAUAGAUAUUUUGGUUAUGCACUCAACAAACCUACAAUGAAACUACCAGAAUACAAAAGCAAUUGUGAACUCCAGAGAGUGCUAGAAAACAUUAUGGAAGAGGGUAUAGUUUAUGUUAAUUAUAGAGGACUAAAGAGAUGUAGAAUAGGAGAGCUGAAAAAGCCUCCACUUCCAGUGGCUCUUAGAGUGUAAUUAGUCCAAGGGACAGCAAGCUGCCUUCUAGCAGAAUCGUUGUGAUCCCAAAGCCCACAUGACUGGGGCCUCUCUCUGGUCCUUUAUACAGUAAUUAAUAUUUAAAAGAUCUCGCUAAAGCCCUGUCAAGUCCUGAAGCAAGAUUUUGAAAAAUAAAAAAACUCAUAAAACACAAAAUAGAACAAAA
rnacentral:lncRNA from 1 species